rnacentral:rRNA from 1 species
GACGGGACCCGCACAAGCGGUGGAUGAUGUGGAUUAAUUCGAUGCAACGCGAAAACCUUACCUACCCUUGACAUGCCAGGAAUCCUGCAGAGAUGUGGGAGUGCUCGAAAGAGAACCUGGACACAGGUGCUGCAUGGCUGUCGUCAGCUCGUGUCGUGAGAUGUUGGGUUAAGUCCCGCAACGAGCGCAACCCUUGUCAUUAGUUGCCAUCAUUAAGUUGGGCACUCUAAUGAGACUGCCGGUGACAAACCGGAGGAAGGUGGGGAUGACGUCAAGUCCUCAUGGCCCUUAUGGGUAGGGCUUCACACGUCAUACAAUGGUCGGUACAAAGGGUUGCCAAGCCGCGAGGUGGAGCCAAUCCCAGAAAGCCGAUCGUAGUCCGGAUCGGAGUCUGCAACUCGACUCCGUGAAGUCGGAAUCGCUAGUAAUCGUGAAUCAGAAUGUCACGGUGAAUACGUUCCCGGGCCUU